rnacentral:snRNA from 1 species
GCUUACUUCAGCAGCAUAUACUAAAAUUGCAACCACACAGAGAAGAUUAGCAUGGCCCCUGAGUAAGACAUGCAAAUUCAUGAAGCCUUCCAUAUUUAU